GUGAUGCCUGGUCGUGGUUCAUCAGCGUUUGUUUUGAAACUGAUGGGUACCACAAGGCAUGAAGGAGGUGACUUGCAGCAGCAAGGCACUGCAAGCCUUCGCAGCAACUGGCUAGCCAGUGCUGCUCUGUUCUGAACUGCACUGCGUGUCAUGCGGAGGUUUUGUGCAAGCUCUCUGGGCGGCGACGCUAGCCACGAUUGGCUUCGUGGAUGCACAGAAAUACUCGAGGCGCUUGACGUCUGUGGCUCAUCUGUAUUGUUUUUCCCGGUACCACGGCAUGAAGGAGCUGGCCUUCCUCCCUUCCAUCAGCUGCGAGAUACUACAAGCACUGGGCUACAGCUGCAGCUAGCCCAUGGGUACCGUUCUGCGUCCUGUACUGCAUCUAGUUCGAAAGGCCAUGUGAAAGGCAGGUGUGGUCUUUAUGGGCUCUGUCACUGUGUGCAUUUUCUGCAGCUUUUUCGGGGCAACUUCAUAUCAAGAUUCAAUACGGACUCGAGUGAGAGGGGGGCAUUCUGAGAAAGCCAGCCUCUUUGUUAAACCAUUGGGACUGGUAUUAUAUCUACAGAGUUUAUUUACACCUUUUGUUAUGUACUUUUUUAUUUAUUUUUAUUUUACUAGUUACUUAUACUUCAAUCUGACACGACAGCCACCAAAAAUGGGGAAAGGACAAAAAUGUUGACAUAUUGGCCUUUUUGUUUUCUGGCAGUUUGUUUGAAGAGCCAAUGUUGGGGGCCGUCAUUCGUGUUAUUUUUCCCACACGCACGUCCAGCCUAUGUUUACGUAAAGCCCCAAUUGCCCCUUAGCAACAAAAAUAAUUUAUGCGACAGACUAGGCGGCAGCAUUGUGGACGAAAACAGGCCAGAUUAUAUCUGCCAUGUUUAAAAACUACAUUCGGUGACAGGUUAUGAAUUCAGUGGCAAGAAUGCACACCGCCUGCCAAUCACUGCUGUCAGUUGUCGUGACGUCACGUGCUGCUAAGAAACUAGUAUAUAUUUUUUUUAAAUGGCAGGUUUUGGUUGCUGAUGCCUCGUAGCACGUCAGCACUCUAAGCAAUUCUUCUGCUCUUGGCCUCUCCGGUUUUACUUUGCAAAGUCAUGACGGCGUCUGCUUUUGUUUGCGGUAUUUCCCGUUUGUCGACGUGAGAAGGCAGCGAUUGUAUCGCCAAGGAAGUAGCGAUCAAUCUGCGCAUUUAUUCCAGCGGCACAGCGUUUACAAACCGGACUUUGCCCUUCACCGAGGGGAAAGUCUACCGACUGGCCCUACAGUUGGCGAGCAUUGUGCAGCCGUGAGCGCGUAACUUGUCCGAAUGCUUUCGUCUGUAUACAGUGACAAAAUGACUCGCUGAAAUGCGAAGUACCAUACAGUACCAUGCCGUACAGCAAACCAUCGAUCACUUGCUGCAGCAACUUUGCGUUUUAAGUCGUAAUAAUAAAGUGAUUUUUAGGCUAAAAUCAUUUUUUCAUACUGCUCAAUUAUUCGGAAUUCUGCACGAUCCUCAUCGGGUCUGCAAUAUCGGUCGGUGGCUGUAUAACCUUUAAACACAAUGGUUACACACCACAGGUACCGGGGACCAUGACAUCAGUGAGCUGGCUUUCACCUUGUCCAAGGCAGCAGCGGAACACUACGGGCGGGACCCUGGAUCACUGCACCAUGGAUGCCGUCCUGUACCCUGCACGGCACUGCGUGUGGCUUAAGUGGCCAAGCAGAGGGUCAUUGCAUGACUUUUAUGAGGCGCCGCUAGCCAUUGUUUCAAACCGUCCUGAAUCACGGACCAAGCCUUGCAAGACCUCACUCUUAUGCCCUCUCCUUUUUGGUGGAUCGGGUCUUGCCAUCUUCCCCUCUCGUGGCUCCCUGUCAUAAAUAAAUUGUAUAUUUUUCUGA
rnacentral:lncRNA from 1 species